CAAUAAAACAAGAAACAGCAAAAUAAUUCCAGUUUUGCAGCAAAUCACUUUGAACUAUACCUCUGAUGUCCUGGGGGAUAUUCUUUCUUUGCCUCUGCCUAGGGGUGCUUGAGGUGAAGUUUAAGAAGCACCAUCAAGGCUGCAUAAGUUGCUUCAAUAUGAAUGGUGCCACUUGGAGUUGUGGCCUGAAGAAGCCUUAAGCUCUGUGAAGCCACUAGGAGUAGUUUAUACCUGGAUGUGGAUGAAAGAUCUAAGAGGAAAUUUUGGUGACCGUGAGUGGAAGUGGAUGUGAUAAGGCUGAGAACAGGAGAGGACUGAGGGAGAAGAAGGGGCAGAAUUGAGAAGGGAUAAACACUCAGAUAGCUGCCAACUCACUGCCUCGCCAGGCAAGGAUGCAGGGAACAUCUUUGCACAUGUCCCCAUAUGGACCCAUGUGAAAAGUUAUUUGGAGUAUAUAACAGGAAG
rnacentral:lncRNA from 1 species